UGAAAACGAUUCUAUUUUUGAUAAGUUCGAGUGCUGUCUGAGUGGCGAUGGACUACGGGUAGCAACUGGUUCUUACAGGAAUUGUAUUAUGCAGAGAACAAGAAGAGAAUGGAACAAAAUACAAAAUACAUUUGUUUCUAUUAUGCAGAGAACAAUGAAGCUCAUCUUGCUUUGGGGACUACCCUGUUUCAUAGCGGAAUGUGCAUACAAGAUAUGAUCAGCUUUGAAGAUGUAUUGAAGGAGUUUACUUCUAAGAAAUGCGGUAAACUUGGGAAAUUGCUUAAGGAAAGUGGUAAUCAUGGGGUUUAGAUGAAACACAAAGAUUCUAGAGCACCGAAGCUAACCGUCAAGCAUGGCGUAAAAUUAUAUAUGAAGAAAGUGUUAUGACUUAGUUAAAAUAUAAUUUUUAUGUUUAUGA